rfam:Klebsiella pneumoniae ISC21, WGS project CBWQ01000000 data, contig: c800
UAGCUCAGUUGGUAGAGCAGUUGACUUUUAAUCAAUUGGUCGCAGGUUCGAAUCCUGCACGACCCACCAAUUUCAGCAUUUAACUCAGAUGCUGAACGUGAAGGAUAACGUUGCGUCAGCAACGGCCCGAAGGGCGAGGCAAAGCCGAGUCAUCCUGCACGACCUACCA